rnacentral:lncRNA from 1 species
AUUCUGUGCUGGAAUGGCCAAAACUCGGACUGUCUCGUCCUGGUGUGAUAUCCGUGGUUGGCAUAGGGCCCUCCGUACUUCUGUAUUUGGCAUGUGUGCAAAUGGCCCCAGAAGCCUCCCACUCUGCAACAACAACUUGUAUCAUGGUAUGCUUUCGCUUGAAUAAUAUCCAAUGAUUUUUACAUGUCCUCAUAAAUUUCUGGUCCAAACUAGAGUUAAAGCUAAAUAAUUUUCUGUGCAAAUGGACCUAACCGAAGCAGGAUAGUCAGUAUGUAUCAUUAUCCUAUUUUUUAUUAUCCUAUGUACUAUAAUCCUAUGUAUUGUUUUAUAUUAUCAUCCUAUUCAUGUUUAAGCAGCCCCUCGCACAAAUGUGUCCGGUCGUACUUCGCGAAUAAACAGUUCGUACAUCGUCCCAAAAAAGCCAGGAGCGAAUUUCGCCGUGCGGAUGCGCGCGUGCGAUUCGCAAAAUGCGCCUGUACAAGUGUAUAUAAAUUUUCUUGGCGGAAAAGGACCAGGUGCGCCAGCGCGUUGCGCAGGUGGGCAUGUUGGCCAUAGCCGCACGCGGCAUGCAGGCUGGACUAUUGCGUGGAUGCUUUGCAGUAACUAAAAGCACCGAAAGCCAACGUCGUAGCUUGCAACUCUGGGCUCGUGAAACUGCCGCGGAAGAUGAAGCGCUGGCGAAGAGGCAGUUGUAUGCAGCACCUUGUUCAGAGUAAAGUCAAAUUACAAAGUUGCGCAAAGUAUAACAUACAUAAACUUAAUUAAACAUAAGAACAGAUAAGACGUUUAGAGCCUUGUCGAUGACAUGGACGCCGCUGUUGGCUUGGAACAGCUAUUUGCUGUGCAUAGGGAUGUGCCCGCGUUAGCCGUGUUGCAACAGCUCAGGAUGGAUUUCAGCCAGCAACAGCCUCAAGAGCUGCUGCACAACCACCGGGAAUGUCUUCAGUUGGGCACGUGUAGUUUUGGUCGGCGGGGUCGAGCAACGUACGCAAUGCGCACAGAAACCAAGGUGCAGCGUUCUGUAACAUCGCCAACAUAUCCGGUACGCGGUGGCAGGCUUGCCGAGCACGAAAUGAAGGGGGGGUCGCAUCUCACCAUUCAACUAAGCAUGCAUGUGCUCGGUUGAAUGCUCGGUAGCGUGCGAGUUUACCCCUAUCAGGAUGUUUGUUUGCAUAUCCCGCCAAGCGAGAGGGCUUGGACCUAUGCUGAUGUUCGUUCCAAAAAGUGAACUGAGGACGGAUGCUACGGUGCGCCAAACGUGCGCCAAACGCCCUGUAACUCGCUUACGCUAAUCUCACAUUCCAAUAUGCCACUGCACUUUCCUCUCCAGCCUGGCCACAUUCUCUUCCUCGCAAACGUACUUGGGCACCUUACAAUCCAACACCAUACGUGCUUUGGAAACGCGGGCAGCUGCUUCACAAGGACCUCUUUAUAUGUUAUCAAAGAUAGCUUUCAUGUCUGCUAUCAUGUCGUACAUUUCCCCUUAUCAAAGCGAUUUACGUCACACCCUGUAAGGUGUCACCUAUAGGUGAUCAAAAAUUAAAAAAAUAAGCGAAUAGGGCCCCCGGUCAUUUUAGCAGCAGUUGAUGCCAAAAUUGUGCAAGCGGACUUCUGCUCUUAAGAAGCUUCAUUUUUCUUAUAUCUUUGUGUGUGUGUGUAUAUUACAUGGUUGGUUCCUGAUCGGUCAUGCUGCAUAAGGAGCAUGACAACGUUCAUGACCAUGACUAUGCCUCAUGACCGGUAGCAUGCCCCCCCUAUAUGGCGCCCCCAUGGAUCGGCUAGACCCUAUAGGAGCGAUUAGCUAAUCGCUCUAACUCCCAUGCCAGAACAAACCCCGUGUUUAUAUUGAACCAGUGGCCGGUCGUGACACUUAGGCUCACGAAGUGGUAUGUAUAUACAGUUAUGCUCCCUAAUGAGCUAGACGACCAUAAAUGGUAGCGUCAAAAGACUCCAGCCGUUUAUGGUCUGUAGACAGCUGUCUAUAGACAAGAUUCAUUGUAUAAGAAAUAAAUCGUGUUACAUAGAAUUAACUUGAAGGUAUGCCUUGAAGGGAUAUGUUGAAGGUAUAAACGUUUCUAUAAAUUAUGCAAUAUUGCAUUAAUGGUGUAACAGUUAGACCUGAAAAUAUAUGGUCUGUAGACACUCCCUCAUUUCACACACAGGUGUGAUCACACCUUCAUGAAGGUAAGAAACGUACAAGGAUACAACAUCCAGCAUCCCCGCUGCAUGAAAGCGCAGACUUAAGCCUGUUUGUGCUAAGCUUAGCACAGACAGGCACCAGGCGCGCGGAAAAAUAAGCACUUACCUGUCCAGCAAGCCUACCUCGGCCUGGGCCCUUCCCUUAAGGGCUGAAGCUUCAGCAUGGCAGGGCCAAGGUUGUGUGCAGGUUCGAACCUGGAAUUCCCAGAAAUUGUGUUCGGACAAAUACCCGAUUCGUUUGCCCAGCAACCAGCAGGUAUUCGUGCACAGUCUGCUUGAAUCGGCCUUUGCCCAACCUGCACGCAACGUAAUCCAGGAUGCGUUCAACUGUACAUGUAGUAGCGCUGGCCGCUGAAAAGGCCUCUCGAGAUGCUUCCAGCGCUGGCAGACGCGCUUAGCGCGUAUUUGUAGUUAUUAUGUGUGCCGUACAAUGUACUGGCUACUACAUCAGCAGCAUGCAAGACCUGCGUGCAAGGUAGCGUACACAUGGCAGUAUUCGUAAGUGCCAAUGGCCUGCAAACCUGCAAUCUAUGUGAUCUUGGCAGGCAUGAUGGUCUGACCAAUGAAAGAUGAGUUUCCCUAACUGAUAUCGAUGUCCUGGAAUUUACCUCCAUUCCUACAAAACGGUAGUCACCUGAUAUGCACAUGCUGAUAUCAGCAUCCUACAUCGAUGUAGGAUGUACCGACUAUAUACUGUCAUAUAUAUGUAAACGUUUGCAUGUCACCAUGAAAGCAUGACAGGCCUACAUGGAAUGACAUACAAUUGCGCCCCUCCCCCACCCAUAAGUGUGCUCUGCUGAACUCCUCCCUGUCCAUUUCCUGGCAACAUGGUGUUCAUUAACCGCGCCUCCUGGCCAUCGGUUAUCUCCCUUGACAUGCAUGCAGCCAGCCCACCCUCGCCUCCUCCUCCAGUGUCAGGUAUGUUUACCCUUGAUAGGUAUACAUACAUACACGCAGGUCGGUGCUCCCUCAAUAUCUGUAUCGGGGUAAUUAGCAGGCUGGCUUGCUGUAUGUAAUAGCUGCCGUACAGUAAGGCACACACAUCGUCUAUAAAUACACUCUAAUGCAUGCUGCUAGCAUCUUGUGAGGCACUUUUAGUGGCCAUCUACUGCACUUCUGGUUGCUUGCCCUACAGCUAUAGGUCCUGUGGCAGAUCAAUCAAACACAGCAAGCAAGCCCAGUCUGAGAUUGCUAAACAAUCAUAGCAUGGUCUGAGUAUAUAAGGUUUGUGAUCAAACCCUCAACCUGCAGAUUCCUCCAUUAUGGCUGCCAUGUACUUCUUGUGUAGCUUACACUCCGUAUACGUCAUCAAUGACUAUGUUUUGCAGAUCAUUAUUAUUACUACUAUAAUGCGGGCCCGGAGUUGCGUUCACCACCACCGCCACCCCCUGCGUCACCAAUGCCACCACCGCCGGCUCCACCACCACAGCAGAGCCCACCAGUACCACAAAGUAAGGUUCUGCAUGCGUGGGCGCAUGUAGUAGAUGUCUUACAAUACGUGGGGAAACACCCUGUAGUAUACUACGGGAUUUUAUUAAGAGGCUAUUACUUCAGCCCAGCUAUUCAGUGGGUAUAUAUACACCACUCUCAAUAGAGGGGAUCACCCUUUUAAAAGGCACCAAACCGAAUCACCUGAAAUGCAAAGUGUUAAUACCAAACCUACAUACGAGAGUAAAGAAAGAGUAAAACGAUCUAACUAUGUUGCUUUGUCCUUAGCUUGCAGUGGCUCACAACUUCAGGCUGUUUUAACCAGCGAACUCAUUACUCAGGUAGUAGUAGUUCUUACUCUGGGAACCAAGCUUAAGGGUUCAUUCUAUAUUCGAUUCACACUCAUUCAUUUUGACCCUUCAAUCCACAACACUUCAUUUUCAAAUCGAGGGAACCAUUUUGGAAUAUCGGUCCCUUCUUUACAGAAUGACCACUUCAGCCAAACUCCUUGGAUAUGUCCUGAAGGCCCCUCCGCCCCUAGGGCCUCGUUUCGGAAUGAGCACAGAACUGAGCACGGAAUGAAUGCCAAAUGAACGUAUCCCCGGGAAAUAUAAGGGGGCCGGGUUCCCAGAAUGUUCUGCUUUUCUGCGGACUCGCAUGAUGUUGUAUCACGUCUUAUCGCAGGACAAGUUGGGUGUUGGCUUCAAGGAAGCCAGAAAAAGGGCGGGGCCCCUCUGCAUCCGUACAGGCCGGUAGCAAGGGUGGCAAGUGUGACAAUUGAUGGGUAGUGUCAACGCGGUGGGAAAUGUGCUUUGUUGCAGCAGUGCUGAUGGUGUGAGAGCUAAGCUUGCACCGGUGGAAUCGUCAGCACCGCCUGAGGGCUCCACGCGAAUCGCAUCCAUUCCAGGUGCAUGCCGCAUGGACAGUGCGGCAGACCGCAAGUCGGAAUGCCCGUGCGGGCAAAUGGUAACGAAAGCUGGGUGAAUUUCGGUGCUGUCUGUGAUGUUUAUCCCCGAAGCGCCAGCGGCCUCAGCAAUCCGCCCCACAGCCACGGGCUUCAUCGGGGCACACCGCAAGUCUCAGGAGGCCCCGUGCAUUGGCCAAAGUAAAUGUACAAACAAGCAGCUUGUGUAUUUCAUAGAGAAAUGAAAGCAAAUUAUGUUGGCCUGCUGGCGGCAAGUCGGAUUGCCCAUGCCGGCAAAUGGUAACACAAGCUGGGUGUUCGAGUUAUCACACGCCGUCAUCUCAGAAUUCCAUUGUGAGAUACGCGGCAGCUCUCGGGAUGAAAUUUAGCGCGAGAGGCGUUGAUGUGACUUUUGAGGUCGGUGAAUGGAGGCAGCUAAACUUGUUUGUGCUCAUACGAUUUUUGUUGGCUACAUGCGAGAUACCUUGCAAUAGAGAAUGCUGUAUAGUACCUAUAACGCGUUUCAGCCGGGCGAGAUAUUAUGUUUGGUCCGUUACACACACACGAACACACACACACACACACACACACACACACACACACACACACACACACACACACACACACACACACAGACACACACACACACACACACACAGACACACACACAGACAUGGGCAAUCCUACAGGUCGAGGCCCCCCUGGGCGCUUCGCGCUGGGGCCCCGCCCAAAAAGAACCGAUCGGCGGAUGUCAAUCCCGUGAUACCCAGAAUACUUCACAUGAAUCCCAGCGUGCAGCUAGCUGAAGUGCAGGUCCUUAGUGCCCCUAAGUACUAGAUCCAUAACCUGUUAUGAGGAGUGAUUCCAGAAGGCAGAACCUGCUGCCUUGAAAUUGCAGUUCGUAUGGCGCAGUACAGUGUGGUAAAUGGUGGAUGGUGCUGUAUGGUGUUCUAUCCUAGAUGACAAUCCAAAUGUGUGCAAAUGGCCCCAGAAGCCUCCCACUCUGCAACAACAACUUGUAUCAUGGUAUGCUUUCGCUUGAAUAAUAUCCAAUGAUUUUUACAUGUCCUCAUAAAUUUCUGGUCCAAACUAGAGUUAAAGCUAAAUAAUUUUCUGUGCAAAUGGACCUAACCGAAGCAGGAUAGUCAGUAUGUAUCAUUAUCCUAUUUUUUAUUAUCCUAUGUACUAUAAUCCUAUGUAUUGUUUUAUAUUAUCAUCCUAUUCAUGUUUAUAUGUUAUCAAAGAUAGCUUUCAUGUCUGCUAUCAUGUCGUACAUUUCCCCUUAUCAAAGCGAUUUACGUCACACCCUGUAAGGUGUCACCUAUAGGUGAUCAAAAAUUAAAAAAAUAAGCGAAUAGGGCCCCCGGUCAUUUUAGCAGCAGUUGAUGCCAAAAUUGUGCAAGCGGACUUCUGCUCUUAAGAAGCUUCAUUUUUCCUAUAUCUUUGUGUGUGUGUGUGUAUAUUACAUGGUUGGUUCCUGAUCGGUCAUGCUGCAUAAGGAGCAUGACAACGUUCAUGACCAUGACUAUGCCUCAUGACCGGUAGCAUGCCCCCCCUAUAUGGCGCCCCCAUGGAUCGGCUAGACCCUAUAGGAGCGAUUAGCUAAUCGCUCUAACUCCCAUGCCAGAACAAACCCCG